rnacentral:rRNA from 1 species
CCAGACUCCUACGGGAGGCAGCAGUGAGGAAUAUUGGUCAAUGGGCGGAAGCCUGAACCAGCCAAGUCGCGUGAGGGAAGAAGGCCCUGCGGGUCGCAGACCUCUUUGGACGGGGAGCAAGGCCGCCGACGUGUCGGCGGAAGGAGAGUACCCGUAGAACAAGCAUCGGCUAACUCCGUGCCAGCAGCCGCGGUAAUACGGAGGAUGCGAGCGUUAUCCGGAUUUAUUGGGUUUAAAGGGUGCGCAGGCGGCGCGGCAAGCCGGCGGUCAAAUCGCGGGGCUCAACCCCGUCGUGCCGUUGAAACUGAUGUUCUUGAGUGGGCGAGAAGUAUGCGGAAUGCGUGGUGUAGCGGUGAAAUGCAUAGAUAUCGCGCAGAACUCCGAUUGCGAAGGCAGCAUGCCGGCUCCACACUGACGCUGAGGCACGAAAGCGUGGGUAUCGAACAGGAUUAGAUACCCCCGUA